rnacentral:rRNA from 1 species
GUAGGUGGCAAGCGUUGUCCGGAAUUAUUGGGCGUAAAGCGCGCGCAGGCGGGUUCUUUAAGUUUGAUGUGAAAGCCCACGGGCUCAACCGUGGAGGGUCAUUGGAAACUGGAGAACUUGAGUACAGAAGAGGAAAGCGGAAUUCCACGUGUAGCGGUGAAAUGCGUAGAGAUGUGGAGGAACACCAGUGGCGAAGGCGGCUUUCUGGUCUGUAACUGACGCUGAGGCGCGAAAGCGUGGGGAGCAAACAGGAUUGGAUACCCUGGUAGUCCACGCCGUAAACGAUGAGUGCUAAGUGUUAGGGGGUUUCCGCCCCUUAGUGCUGCAGCUAACGCAUUAAGCACUCCGCCUGGGGAGUACGGCCGCAAGGCUG